CCACAGGGAAAGCACCAUGAGAAGAUGAUGGCAGAGAUCUGGGCGACGCGUCUACAAGCCAAGCGACACCAAAGGUGGCCAGCAGCCCAUGUGAAGCUGGAGGAGAGGCCUCGAAUAAAUGCUCCCUCACAGCGUUCAGGGGGAACUGACCCUGUCCAUACCUUGACCUUGAACUUCUGGGCUCCAGAACUGUGAGACAGCACAUUUCUGUUGUUGAAGGAGCAGCGUGGCUAGAGGAAUUCCUGCAGCUUAGAUUUCGCUGGCGCUGUUACCACUCCCAGAGAGGAGCGGCUGGAGUUCACGGCUGGUUCCUGACAAACUUCCUAAUUAAUCUGCUAAAGAUCAGAGGAGGACUAAUAGGAGCUGAAGACUGUGUGCGAGACCACCCCUCCGCCCUCUCCCUUUGUGUGUGCACGUGUGUGUGUGUGUGUGUGAGCGCGUGCGCGCAUGUGGUGCUGAGCUUGGCAGGAGAGAGAUGGCCUCACUAGCGACAAAGCAUUCCUGCUGCUGUUGCUGCCACCUACCUUCCCUGCUUUGGGAGGAUACAUUUUCUCCUCUUGCUUAGAAGUUUAAGGGAGUCACCCAAGCCUUCUUCUCCCAGAUACAACAGUGGAAUAAAAUAUCUUCCAACCAACUUUUUUUUUUUGAGACGGAAUCUCACUCUGUCAUCUGGUUGAAGUGCAGCAGCGCGAUCAUGGCUCACUGCAACCUCU
rnacentral:lncRNA from 1 species